rnacentral:rRNA from 1 species
CGCUGGCGGCAGGCCUAACACAUGCAAGUCGAACGGUAACAGGAAGCAGCUUGCUGCUUUGCUGACGAGUGGCGGACGGGUGAGUAAUGUCUGGGAAACUGCCUGAUGGAGGGGGAUAACUACUGGAAACGGUAGCUAAUACCGCAUAACGUCGCAAGACCAAAGAGGGGGACCUUCGGGCCUCUUGCCAUCGGAUGUGCCCAGAUGGGAUUAGCUAGUAGGUGGGGUAAAGGCUCACCUAGGCGACGAUCCCUAGCUGGUCUGAGAGGAUGACCAGCCACACUGGAACUGAGACACGGUCCAGACUCCUACGGGAGGCAGCAGUGGGGAAUAUUGCACAAUGGGCGCAAGCCUGAUGCAGCCAUGCCGCGUGUAUGAAGAAGGCCUUCGGGUUGUAAAGUACUUUCAGCGGGGAGGAAGGGAGUAAAGUUAAUACCUUUGCUCAUUGACGUUACCCGCAGAAGAAGCACCGGCUAACUCCGUGCCAGCAGCCGCGGUAAAAGGG